rnacentral:lncRNA from 1 species
GGGAAAUGAACUGUUUUAAGAUAUAUACAAAUUCAAGGUAAAUUAAAACAGCUAGGCCCGUGGUGCUCGGGUGGUCAUUUGACGAGGGAUUGGUGCUUGAGGUCACGGGUUCGAGUCUGUUUAGCAGCAAAAAAAAUUUCAUUUGCAAGCCGUUAUAGCCUGUACCGGCCGAACGGUUUUAUUAAUAAUAUAAUUUUUUUUUUCAUAUAAGCCGGUAUAGCCUCUACCGGCCGGCAGGUUUUAUUAAUAAUAUAAUAAAAGAAACAAAACAACAAAGGGUAAACCGGUGAAGCCUGUACCGGCCGAGCAAAGCAACAAAACUUUUUCUGCCAUGUUUGACUACUUUUUCUGCCACAUCGCCUCGGGAAAGAACACCUGCAAGCUCGGUAAUAUAAAAAGCUGUGACCCAUAACAGUAUUAAUGUUUGAAUUUGGUCCUAAAAUAAUUCAUGUACCGGACUUACUCACCUUAUUUAAACGUCUAUUGAGAACAUAUGUUGUUCAAACUAAAGUUCACUUGCCAAGCUAGAUAAAAUAAAAAUAACAGAGAGUAGAGAGGGAGUAUUUCGGAAGAGAGGAGCAAAAAACUUCAACAAGUAAGUUUUUAUUUAUUGUUAUUUGUUCAGUUUUUAAUAGUUUCUGUUGGUGUUAUUUUUUAUCACUGCAUUUAUUACUGAAUUAAAGGGGAUAUAAUACCAUGCAUGUAUUUGUUUUUGUUGUCAUUAAUGCAUGUUAUCACUGCAUAUUAUGCAUGCAUGUUAUUACUGUUGUUGUUAUUAUUUUCGUAUAAUAACAACAAAAUAAUGCAAGAUUUAUAAUGAUCACUUUAUAUUUUAUUAAAGAAUGAUAUUUAUUUUUAAUAUAUUAAUUAGACUAAUUGGACAUAUUUUUACAAAAAUAAGAAAAAAUAUUAGAGGGGAUAAUAAUAAAUAUAGAUAUUAACUUAUUUCUAUUUUAAAAAAACCAAUUAAUAGAUUUUGGGGGAUGGUGAAGUUUUACUAUAAAGAUAUAUCCUUGGUAGAAAUUAGCAGCUAGGCCCGUGGUGCUCGGGUGGUCAUAUGACGAGUGAUUGGUGCUUGAGGUCGCGAUUUCGAAUCUGUUUAGCAGCGAACAAAUUUGGCAUACCAAAUUUUUUUUUUUUAGAGGACAGCUGUCAGCCGGGACAGGCUGUACCGGCCGGGUUUUUUUAUUUUAUUUUAAUUUGUAAGCCGGAUGAAGCUGUACCGGCUGGAUAUAUAUAUAUAUAUAUUUUUAUUUUUUUUUAUUUUAAUUUGCUGAGUCAUCAUUAUACAAUGGAGAAAAGAAGAUAAAAAAAAUUAAAAAAGCUAAGCCGGUUUAAGCUGUAC